rnacentral:tRNA from 3 species
CGGGACGUGGCGCAGCCUGGUAGCGCGCACCCUUGGGGUGGGUGAGGCCCCGAGUUCGAAUCUCGGCGUCCCGACCA